CCAGGCACGGCCCGUUUGGAACCGUUGUGGGCCGUGCCAGGCACGGCCCGUAUCGUGCCGUGCCCGGCCCGGCCCGCCAAUAGACGGGCCUGGGGCCGGGCCGGGCACCUGUUCUGUGCUGAAUGGGCCGUGCCCGGCACGGCCCGCUUAUGAAGCGGGCCGGGCCAGGCACGGCCCGUUUAGACCUCGGGCCCGGGGGGCCUGGGCCGGGCCGGCCCGACGCCCAACUCGGGCCGGCCCGGCCCGACGCCCAACUCUAAUCUUCAUGGACACUAGUACCAAUCAGAUAAAAGAAAGUCAUAUUAUUAGUGGAAGUUGAAAUGACAGAAGUACCUCUGACAGCAAGAGUGAUGAUCUUUCAGAGAAGAAAGUAGCAAAAUUUGAGAUGAAGAUUGACUAAUGACUAGAGAGUGAAAUUGAAAUUAAAACGAAGAGCAAUUUCUUUUGGGAGAAUUCAGUCAUUGUGUCAAAACAACAUCAUCAAACAUCUAGUCGUCUAAGGGGUAUUCAAGCCACAGUGCUAAUGUGGACAAUGACUAUAGAGAUGAUUGGCUUUCUAGAGCAACAAAUUGGUUAGGAUAUUGUCAUAUACCAGUUAAUAUUUCUACAGCUUUGCACAGUAGUCAUUGAAAAACAUUAGGUGUACGAAGAAUUGUUUAUUUCAAAAGCAUUUGGCCAUAAUGUUUUUCUCAGCCUGUAUCAAACAUUCUUAGCACACUCCAUCCUUUUCCAUUGUUAAUAACUUCAUAUUAUGAUUUCUUAUAAGUUGUAAAAAGCAUUAUAUUUUAUAUGCUGGUGUAACCUAACUGUUACGCAAGUCCAAACUUAUUAGGAAAUUAAUC
rnacentral:lncRNA from 1 species